GGAGGUCCUUGCAGGAACCUAACUGCCCAACUGAAACAUUUGGAUUUAAAAGGACAACAGGUGCAGACACUUAAAUGAAAAAUAUAAAGAUGCCCUCAAUUUAAGGUAUACAGGCGAUAAGGCAUACAAAGACUUCACCCUCCCUACACCUCUGAUGAAUAUAACAGGAAACCUGUUCAAUCACCAUGCACUGCAAAAUCAUUCUGGCUAUGGAUAAGGAGAACAUCAACACAUUAACAUCAACACGCCAGAGGAUAUACCCAUUGGACUUGGGGCUCUGAUGGGAGUUUACCUCGAAUUUACAUGUUUUAUUCUGUUUGCCACUAAAAUCAUAAUAAACA